rfam:Alligator mississippiensis ScZkoYb_108.1, whole genome shotgun sequence.
AUGCUGGUAGUCCUGUAGUUAGGGCACUUGUCUGGAAUACAAGAGAAUGAGAUUCAAAUCCUUUCUCUGAAUG